rnacentral:rRNA from 1 species
AAGGAUCAUUACUGAGAGAGGAGCUUCGCGCUCCCAGGGGUCUCAUCCCCAACUCUUCACCCAUUGUCUAUCUACCUUUGUUGCUUUGGCGGACCCCGGGGUCUCCUCGCGUCGGCUUUCAGGUCGGCGAGCGCCCGUCAGAGGCUCAUUAAAUUCUGUUUAUCAGUGAUGUCCGAGCGAAACCACAAUAAAAACUUUCAACAACGGAUCUCUUGGUUCCAGCAUCGAUGAAGAACGCAGCGAAAUGCGAUAAGUAAUGUGAAUUGCAGAAUUCAGUGAAUCAUCGAAUCUUUGAACGCACAUUGCGCCCCUCGGUAUUCCGGGGGGCAUGCCUGUCCGAGCGUCAUUACACCCCUCAAGCGUAGCUUGGUGUUGGGCCUCGCCCCCGCGGCGUGCCCGAAAAUCAGUGGCGGUCCGCUGCGGCUUUAAGCGUAGUAAACUUUCAUCCCGCUUUGAAAGUCCGCGCCGUGACCGGCCAGACAACCCCAUUUAUUUCAAUCAUUGACCUCGGAUCAGGUAGGGAUACCCGCUGAACUUAA